rnacentral:rRNA from 1 species
GGGGCCGUUCCUUGUCUAUGUUCCUUGGAACAGGACGUCAUAGAGGGUGAGAAUCCCGUGUGGCGAGGAGUGCGGUUCUUUGUAAAGUGCCUUCGAAGAGUCGAGUUGUUUGGGAAUGCAGCUCUAAGUGGGUGGUAAAUUCCAUCUAAAGCUAAAUAUUGGCGAGAGACCGAUAGCGAACAAGUACAGUGAUGGAAAGAUGAAAAGAACUUUGAAAAGAGAGUGAAAAAGUACGUGAAAUUGUUGAAAGGGAAGGGCAUUUGAUCAGACAUGGUGUUUUGUGCCCUCUGCUCCUUGUGGGUAGGGGAAUCUCGCAUUUCACUGGGCCAGCAUCAGUUUUGGUGGCGGGAUAAAUCCAUAGGAAUGUAGCUUGCCUCGGUAAGUAUUAUAGCCUGUGGGAAUACUGCCAGCUGGGACUGAGGACUGCGACGUAAGU